rnacentral:rRNA from 1 species
UACAGAGGUGGCAAGCGUUGUUCGGAAUUACUGGGCGUAAAGGGCGCGUAGGCGGCCUUGUCAGUCAGACGUGAAAUCCCCAGGCUUAACCUGGGAACUGCGUCUGAUACUACAAGGCUGGAGUUCGGGAGAGGAAUGUGGAAUUCCAGGUGUAGCGGUGAAAUGCGUAGAUAUCUGGAGGAACACCGGUGGCGAAGGCGGCAUUCUGGACCGGCAUUGACGCUGAGGAGCGAAAGCCAGGGGAGCAAACGGGGAUUAGAAACCCGAGUAGU